GGGUCAGUAGGUUGGUCGUGCCACCGGUACGUACUGGUCUCACUGAUUCCUCCUUCCUGAAGAGCCGUAAUGCCAUUAAUUUGGUGUUGCGGGGAAACAGGACUGUUACUUUGAAAAAAUUAGAGCGUUUAAAGCAAGCUAACGCUUGAAUACAUUAGCAUGGAAUAAUGAAAUAGGACGAUCGAUCCUAUUUUGUUGGUUUCUAGGAUUGACGUA
rnacentral:rRNA from 1 species